AGGACGAACGCUGGCGGCGUGCUUAACACAUGCAAGUCGAGCGGAAAGGCCUUUUCGGUGGUACUCGAGCGGCGAACGGGUGAGUAACACGUGAGUAAUCUGCCCCUGGCUUUGGGAUAGCCACCGGAAACGGUGAUUAAUACCGGAUACGACCCGCCCUCGCAUGGGGGUGUGUGGAAAGUUUUUCGGCCAGGGGAUGUGCUCGCGGCCUAUCAGCUUGAUGGUGGGGUAAUGGCUCACCAUGGCUUCGACGGGUAGCCGGCCUGAGAGGGUGACCGGUCACACUGGGACUGAGACACGGCCCAGACUCCUACGGGAGGCAGCAGUGGGAAUAUUGGACAAUGGGCGAAGCCUGAUCCAGCAACGCCGCGUGAGGGAUGACGGCUUCGGUUGUAACCGUCUUCAGUACCGACGAAGCGGAAGUGACGGUAGGUACGAGAAGAAGACACCGGCCAACUACGUAGCAGCAGCCGC
rnacentral:rRNA from 1 species